rnacentral:rRNA from 1 species
GACGAACGCUGGCGGCGUGCCUAACACAUGCAAGUCGAACGGAACUGUUUUGAAAGAUUUCUUCGGAAUGAAUUUGAUUUAGUUUAGUGGCGGACGGGUGAGUAACGCGUGAGUAACCUGCCUUCAAGAGGGGGAUAACAUUCUGAAAAGAAUGCUAAUACCGCAUGACAUAUCGGAANCACAUGAUUNUGAUAUCAAAGAUUUUAUCGCUUGAAGAUGGACUCGCGUCCGAUUAGUUAGUUGGUGAGGUAACGGCUCACCAAGACCGCGAUCGGUAGCCGGACUGAGAGGUUGAACGGCCACAUUGGGACUGAGACACGGCCCAGACUCCUACGGGAGGCAGCAGUGGGGGAUAUUGCGCAAUGGGGGCAACCCUGACGCAGCAACGCCGCGUGAAGGAUGAAGGUUUUCGGAUUGUAAACUUCUUUUAUUAAGGACGAAAAAUGACG